rnacentral:rRNA from 1 species
GUGAGGAAUAUUGCGCAAUGGAGGCAACUCUGACGCAGCCAUGCCGCGUGCAGGAAGAAGGCGCUACGUGUUGUAAACUGCUUUUAACCGGGAAGAAACCCCAGGACGUGUCCUGGGUUGACGGUACCGGAGGAAUAAGCACCGGCUAACUUCGUGCCAGCAGCCGCGGUAAUACGAAGGGUGCAAGCGUUAUCCGGAUUCAUUGGGUUUAAAGGGUGCGUAGGCGGAGCGUUAAGUCAGUGGUGAAAUCCUGCAGCUUAACUGUAGACUUGCCAUUGAUACUGGCGCUCUUGAGUGCGCUUGAAGUGGGCGGAAUGUGCCGUGUAGCGGUGAAAUGCUUAGAUAUGGCACAGAACACCAAUUGCGAAGGCAGCUCACUAAGGCGAUACUGACGCUGAGGCACGAAAGCGUGGGGAGCAAACAGGAUUAGAAACCCUAGUAGUCC